rnacentral:rRNA from 1 species
UACGUAGGGGGCAAGCGUUGUCCGGAAUCAUUGGGCGUAAAGAGCGUGUAGGCGGCCCGAUUAGUCCGCUGUGAAAGUCCAGGGCUCAACCCUGGAAUGCCGGUGGAUACUGUCGGGCUAGAGUCCGGAAGGGGCGAGUGGAAUUCCUGGUGUAGCGGUGAAAUGCGCAGAUAUCAGGAGGAACACCGAUGGCGAAGGCAGGUCACUGGGCCGCAACUGACGCUGAGGAGCGAAAGCAUGGGGAGCGAACAGG